rnacentral:tRNA from 1 species
GGAUGUAGCUCAGGGGUAGAGAGCUUGCCUAGCACACAUAAGGUCUUGAGUUCAAUCCCCAGCACCA